UCGGGAAUUUUGGGCAAUGGGCGAAAGCCUGACCCAGCAACGCCGCGUGAAGGAUGAAGUAUUUCGGUAUGUAAACUUCGAAAGAAUAGGAAGAAUAAAUGACGGUACUAUUUAUAAGGUCCGGCUAACUACGUGCCAGCAGCCGCGGUAAUACGUAGGGACCAAGCGUUGUUCGGAUUUACUGGGCGUAAAGGGCGCGUAGGCGGCAAUUCAAGUCAUCUGUGAAAUCUCCGGGCUUAACUCGGAACGGUCAGAUGAUACUGCUUUGCUAGAGUGCAGAAGGAGCAAUCGGAAUUCUUGGUGUAGCGGUGAAAUGCGUAGAUAUCAAGAGGAACACCUGAGGUGAAGACGGGUUGCUGGGCUGACACUGACGCUGAGGCGCGAAAGCCAGGGGAGCAAACGGGAUUAGAUACCCGAGUAGUCCCUGAGCGGGCUGGCAAGGCGCAU
rnacentral:rRNA from 1 species